AUUUUAUGUUUGAUUGCUUUAAUUUAAUUUUAUUUUUAUGUUUUAAUUUUAUUUAUUU
rnacentral:guide_RNA from 1 species